rnacentral:rRNA from 1 species
ACGCUGGCGGCAGGCCUAACACAUGCAAGUCGAGCGGUAGCACGGGAGAGCUUGCUCUCUGGGUGACGAGCGGCGGACGGGUGAGUAAUGUCUGGGAAACUGCCUGAUGGAGGGGGAUAACUACUGGAAACGGUAGCUAAUACCGCAUGACCUCGCAAGAGCAAAGUGGGGGACCUUCGGGCCCCACGCCAUCGGAUGUGCCCAGAUGGGAUUAGCUAGUAGGUGGGGUAAUGGCUCACCUAGGCGACGAUCCCUAGCUGGUCUGAGAGGAUGACCAGCCACACUGGAACUGAGACACGGUCCAGACUCCUACGGGAGGCAGCAGUGGGGAAUAUUGCACAAUGGGCGCAAGCCUGAUGCAGCCACGCCGCGUGUGUGAAGAAGGCCUUAGGGUUGUAAAGCACUUUCAAGCGAGGAGGAAGGCGUUGUAGUUAAUAGCUGCAGCGAUUGACGUUACUCGCAGAAGAAGCACCGGCUAACUCCGUGCCAGCAGCCGCGGUAAUACGGAGGGUGCAAGCGUUAAUCGGAAUUACUGGGCGUAAAGCGCACGCAGGCGGUUUGUUAAGUCAGAUGUGAAAUCCCCGAGCUUAACUUGGGAACUGCAUUUGAAACUGGCAAGCUAGAGUCUUGUAGAGGGGGGUAGAAUUCCAGGUGUAGCGGUGAAAUGCGUAGAGAUCUGGAGGAAUACCGGUGGCGAAGGCGGCCCCCUGGACAAAGACUGACGCUCAGGUGCGAAAGCGUGGGGAGCAGAC